UUAGAAGUUAGUCUGCUUAGCGUGCUGUAUCCUUCUUUCGUGGGUUUUGGUUACAGGUUAUACGAUUAGGAUUGCGAGAACAGUAGUGAACUAAACUUCCCAGUAAGAGGUCUUCACACCAGGGAAGUGUUACUUUGCCGCAGCAGCCCUGCCUCGUCAGUCAUUAGGAAGCUGCAGGUUGUCAGAGGCUUCUCUUGCGCGCACACACGCGCAGACACACACACGCACACACACAAAACCACAGCACUAAAACUAAAUUAAGAAGCCGAUGAUUAAGACAAGCGUCUACGAGGCCUGUCAUUUCAGCAUCCUUCCAUCAUAACAUUGUGGCACCGAGAAAUUUGCUUGAAAACCGUGGAAAAAAUGUCUAUGGGAGAGCCUCGUAUUUGAGAUAGCGUAAAUGUUAACAUCAGAUAUAGACUGGGAGCUGCCUCGGAUGCAAGAUAAGCGUUCCGCAGAGGAAAGGAGCACCGCAGAGACCUUCGGGCUAUCCCCGCUCUCCCGAAACUCUGGACUGACUUGACGGUCCCCGAAAACGCCGAACAGCCCAUGAGCUCUCUCCCUUCAAACCAAGCGUGGGGAAGAUUCUUGCAAAAGAGGCCUGAAAAUAAAAAUAACUUGACUGGAGGCAGUUUGUGCAACCAUCGUAUCACGGAAUAACUAACAUUUCUUUAACGUAUUUCCUCUCGGAUCAUGUCAAUAAACAUCAGCUACGGCAAGCAUA